UACGUAGGGUGCGAGCGUUGUCCGGAAUUAUUGGGCGUAAAGAGCUCGUAGGUGGUCCGUCACGUCGGGUGUGAAAACUGGAGGCUCAACCUUCAGAGGUCGACCGAAACCAUCUGGCUAGAGUCCGGGAGAGGAGAGUGGAAUUCCUGGUGUAGCGGUGAAAUGCGCAGAUAUCAGGAAGAACACCAAUGGCGAAGGCAGCUCUCUGGGACGGUACUGACGCUGAGACGCGAAAGCGUGGGUAGCGAACAGG
rnacentral:rRNA from 1 species